UACAGAGGGUGCGAGCGUUAAUCGGAAUUACUGGGCGUAAAGGGCGCGUAGGCGGUUAUGUAAGUUAGAUGUGAAAUCCCCGGGCUUAACCUGGGAAUGGCAUUUAAUACUGUAUGACUAGAGUAGAGUAGAGGGAAGUGGAAUUUCCGGUGUAGCGGUGAAAUGCGUAGAUAUCGGAAAGAACACCAGUGGCGAAGGCGGCUUCCUGGACUCAUACUGACGUUGAGGCGCGAAAGCGUGGGUAGCAAACAGG
rnacentral:rRNA from 1 species